AUGCAAGGCAUGGCGCUAGCAGUCCAACACUGUGAGCUCCCAGUCAUAGUCCAGUCGGACUCUUCUGUCGCCCUAUCUGCCCUCUCGGGCGACAGCUUAUCUAGAUCUGCCUACGGGCACUUAGUUGCUGAGAUUCGUCACCUAAUGAUAGAUAGAGUUUUCAUUCCGUUCAAGAUUAGUCGUGUGCAGAAUAGGGUAGCAGAUCGUUUGGCCCUGUAUAGUCGUACAGAGCGUACCACUGCUGUAUGGCUUGGCCGAGGUCCGCCGUGUAUCGAGGAUCUCUUGCCUCGCGAUUGUAACCCUAUACCUUUGGAAUAA
rnacentral:rRNA from 1 species